rnacentral:rRNA from 1 species
AUUGAACGCUGGCGGCGUGCUUGACACAUGCAAGUCGAUCGGUAACGCGGGGGCAACCCUGGCGACGAGAGGCGGACGGGUGAGGAACGCUUGGGAAUCUGCCCUUCAGCGGGGGACAACACGGGGAAACUCGUGCUAAUACCGCAUACGCUCCACGGAGGAAAGCCGGGGACCGCAAGGCCUGGCACUGAAGGAUGAGCCCAAGUCGGAUUAGCUAGUUGGCGGGGUAACGGCCCACCAAGGCGACGAUCCGUAGCUGGUCUGAGAGGACGAUCAGCCACACUGGGACUGAGACACGGCCCAGACUCCUACGGGAGGCAGCAGUGGGGAAUCUUGGACAAUGGGGGCAACCCUGAUCCAGCCAUGCCGCGUGGGUGAUGAA